rnacentral:tRNA from 1 species
GCCGGGGUGGUGGAAUGGUAGACACAGAGGCCUUAAGAGCCUCCGGAUGAAUAGUCCGUAAGGGUUCGACUCCCUUCCCCGGCA